GGCUUUACCAUGAGCUGGCAGUCAGAAAUCAAAGUAAAAUGCAAUGUGGAAAGAGAAUGAGUGGUUACAGAGCGCUCUCUGCUAGGCUCUUCCACAUGUUACCUCAUUCUUCUCUCUAUAACCCACUCAAGAGGUAGACAUUUACUCCUUUUCACAGAUGAAAAAUGGAGGCUCAGAGAGGCCAUACAACUUAACAUAGGUCACACAGCUAGUAAAUGCUACCUCUUCCAGACCUGUCUUCUCAGCUUGACUCUUCUACUUUACUUGGUGAUACACCAAUCUAUCUGGCAAUGUGGACACUUAGCAACCACACAAUUGAAAUGAUGCUGAUAACAACCUUCUCAAUUAGGACUGAAGAAGUGUGUCUAACAUUCUGGAAAACACACCACCCAACCCCCCAAGGUGCCUGAGUUUAUGUAAAAAGAGAGAUUGUCUUCGCUGUCAAGGUUUCCUGCCUCUCACUUCACUCCCACAGCUAUGUGUGUGAAUAUUCAGAAGCAAGGUUGGAGCUGAUUUGGAGUGAUGACUCUAAAGAAGAGAUAAGUUGCGUGGUGAAAACAAACAAAAGGAGAAAUUAUUGAAGAAUCCUUUCCUCAAAAAACUCCAAGUAGGACUUGGGCUUGGUGAUCUGUUUAUAAAGCCUCUUCAGAUCUUCAUCUGGGAGCAUUUUAUGGAGCAGGUGGAUAUCCUACUGCUUGGAGCUGUGAGCUCGCUUUGGAGACCAUCUUCCCCUUGGAAUAUGGCAGAUGACUGAGAAAUGAGGUGAACCCUGAUAGUGUGGACCACAGAUAGCUUAACUCUUUGAAGAUAUGCCUAUUUUGACUCCACCUAUAAGAGAGCACUACUCUGCCUGCUAAGACAGAAUGGAACUCUGCUGAGAUGGAACAUGACAGCCACUCAUAACACCACACAUCCUUUUCCAAGCAGCUUGUUAUACAAAUGAAACAUUGUUCUCACAUGGCAAAUUUACAAAGGCAGAAGAUACGAUGAAUUUGGAUAGUGUGAUGGAUCAUAAAGAGACAGAGUCUUCUUCCCUUCCCCUUGAACUGAGUUGAUCCUGACAUAUUUUGGCAGUAGAAUAUGGUAGAAGUGAUGUUGUGUAACGACACUCCUUGGAACCCUGUGAGAAGCCCAAGUAAAAUGAAGAAGCCACGUGAAAGAGAACCCAGGUACUCCAGUCAACAGCCCCAGCUGAGCUUCCAGCAACAUUUUUGCAUUUUCCUGGGACGCAUCUUGUUCUACAUCCUCCGAAAAUGAACACACAUGAGCGUACAUAUACACACUCAAGACAGAGGCCUUGAGAUUUUCUGAAGGAGCAGAAGGCUUUUCCUCACAGAGAUGGACCAUAGCAGCUUUCCCACCAAGAAGCAGAAUGCAGACACACGACCAUCUAUGCAGGAAAGGUACCCACUCUGUGCUGAAUACAGUGCUAGUCACUUUGGAGGAAACACAAAGCAAAGAAGCACCACCUCCCCUCAAGAGACUUCCAAUCUCCCCAAGUGGUGCAGACAAGACAAAACAGAUGAAGCAAGAAGAAAUUAUAUCAUAUCCAUCAAAUUUUGCUCAAGUUGUAGAGUCUGGAGAGCAUAAAUUUAUCUUAACUUCAUUAAAAAACUCACAGGCAGAAUUACAGGGCACUGAGUUUAACCGGGGAAGACAUUGGAGUAACCUUUGUGCCUUGUAAAGACACAUUGAUUGGAGCCAACUCUACCCUUUGACUCAAUAAUCAAAAUCUUGGUAUUUGAUCAGAAUUCUGGAGGCCAGAAGUCUGAAACCAAGAUGUCGGCCCCCCCUUCAGAGGCUCUAGGGGUGGAAUCUAUUCCUAAAUUCUUCCAGUGUCAAGCAGCUGUCAGCAUUCCUCGGCUUGUGGCCACAUCUCUCUCUGCUCCAUCUUCACAUCACCUUCUCCGAGAUGCAACCAACAAACACCCUGAACCAGACGGAACCCCGCUGCAAGAGCAGCACCAUUGCAGAUGAACUGAGAGUUGCCACCUGAGCCUGUGCAAGUGGAUGCCCAUAUCUCCCUUUUGAAUAUUCAUUCCCCACCUGAAAUAAGAG
ensembl:lncRNA